UACAUGGGGUGCAAACGUUGCUCGGAAUUAUUGGGCGUAAAGCGCGCGUAGGCGGUUACUUAAGUCGGAUGUGAAAGCCCUCGGCUUAACUGAGGAAGUGCACCCGAAACUGAGUAGCUAGAGUACGAAAGAGGGUCGCGGAAUUCCCGGUGUAGAGGUGAAAUUCGUAGAUAUCGGGAGGAACACCGGUGGCGAAGGCGGCGACCUGGGUCGAGACUGACGCUGAGGCGCGAAAGCGUGGGGAGCAAGCAGG
rnacentral:rRNA from 1 species